CAAUAGCGUAUAUUAAAGUUGUUGUAGUUAAAAAGCUCGUAGUUGGAUUUGUGGCGUACGGUGUGUUCCGGGCACUUGUUGUCUGAGCAACCUGCUGUUGCCAUCCUUGGGUGGAACCUGUGUGGCAUUAGGUUGUCGUGCAGGGGAUGCCCAUCAUUUACUGUGAAAAAUUAGAGUGUUCAAAGCAGGCUUAUACCGUUGAAUAUAUUGGCAUGGAAUAAUGAGAUAGGACUUUUUUGCUAUUUUGUUGGUUUGCGCAAAGAGGUAAUGAUUAAUAGGGACAGUUGGGGGUAAUCGUAUUCCAUAGUCAGAGGUGAAAUUCUUGGAUUUUUGGAAGACGAACUACUGCGAAAGCAUUUACCAAGGAUGUUUUCAUUAA
rnacentral:rRNA from 1 species